rfam:Myotis brandtii contig241105, whole genome shotgun sequence.
AGGCCCAGAGAGAGAAGUAGGGUCAGAUCCGCAGCCUCUGUGGCAGCUGCUGAUCAGUCCUUGCCUCUCUCUUUCUCCCUG